GAAUUUCUCCCUUUCCACGAUAGCUAAAAAAUAAAAGUACUUGAUGUGAACAUACAAAUUUGGUGACUUGCCCUGAAUAUUUGAAAUUCGCUCAAAAAUAGAAUUUCAAUUUUUAUCGAUUGAUUGGAAACAGGGCAAGCUAUCGGAAAUAACCAUGUACUACGCGGACGAUAGGGGUCGGCGGUGCUUCUCUUUUUACAGUUGAAUGAAAUAUUUGAGAUCCCUUUGAAGCCUCUAUCUAUUAGUGAAAAAAUAGCCAUAGAAACGACCGAUUUACAAUAUAUGUAUGUGUGCAUACAAAGUAGAUGCCGAUUUUUUAACGUCACUCUCCAAAAACGCGCUCCUUCCAUUCAGUUUUGAGAAUCGACGAAGUUUUACAAAAAUGUAUUGAUGUUUUACUUUGUUUUGUUUUGUUGAAGCAUCGAUACUUAGCGUUUGUUAUGUGUCUACAUUAACUACUACGGCAACGCCGGCCAGCCAGUACUCUCUUUAGGGAUGGGCAUUUCCUGCCCACCGUCACGAACAAUCGCACAACACUAAACUAAAUCUGCACAUCACUAAGCAGUUGACUCAAAAACGUAAACAAAGGCUAGUGACAAAACAAUGCAAAAAUAAAGCUAACAAAAUUUCGGCGGGUUCCUUGUUGUUGCCGUUGCACAUAAACCUAUCCUGUGAUGACUUCUAUUCGAACGGCAGCAUUCCCCUUCCUAACGUUAACGAAUUUUUUGCCGGACAUUUUCUUUUUCACUAUGAACAAAAGACAGACGACAAGACUUUUGCCUGUUGCCGCUGGAAACAAUAAUCGAUUAUAAUUUUUUACUGAGUGAAUAUAAUUCUCGAAUUGGAAAUUAUGUGAGGCAUAUAAGUUUGAAAGAUUGCUACCUUACUCUAUCUAAAGAGCUCUCCGGCAGCCCAAAAUUUUUCUGUCGCUCUUCCGCAAACACACGCACAAAGCCCACGCCUCGCCACGCUUCAAAGGCUGCCCGACGGCCAACGACACCGUUCUGGAACAGUACACACGAUUACCGAGGGGAUGGGACUAGGUACAUUUAUCUAGUACAUGGCGAAUGUAUGCAUAAGUAUAUUUAAAUAGAGACAUAAAAUGAAUCAAGAUCCGGCAGCAAGUGCGAUAUAGAAAACAGACAGACGGAAGACAACGAAUAUAUUUUGUGACAGCGCGCUAAACGAGUAAAAGCCAGACGAGAUAUUUUAUGCAUUGUGUUUGGGACGGCGAUAAAAUACCCUAAGCUUCGAAAUUUAACUUAGCUUAUAAAGUAAAUUUCGUCAACAUUUCUUAGAUCUUAAGUUACUUAUUUUUGGACAAGCAGUUUUUUCUUUCAAUUUGAAUUUGGAAACUUGUAAAAGCCAGACGAGA